rnacentral:rRNA from 1 species
UAGGGAAUCUUCCACAAUGGGCGCAAGCCUGAUGGAGCAACACCGCGUGAGUGAAGAAGGGUUUCGGCUCGUAAAGCUCUGUUGUUAAAGAAGAACACGUAUGAGAGUAACUGUUUACCCAGUGACGGUAUUUAACCAGAAAGCCACGGCUAACUACGUGCCGG